rnacentral:rRNA from 1 species
UGGGGAAUCUUCCGCAAUGGACGAAAGUCUGACGGAGCAACGCCGCGUGAGUGAAGAAGGUUUUCGGAUCGUAAAACUCUGUCUUUUGGGGCGAACGUGAGUAUGGUGAACAAUCAUAGUCAGUGACGGUACCAAAGGAGGAAGCCACGGCUAACUACGUGCCAGCAGCCGCGGUAAUACGUAGGUGGCAAGCGUUGUCCGGAAUUAUUGGGCGUAAAGAGCGCGUAGGCGGGAUAGUCAGUCUGUUGUAAAGUGCGGGGCUCAACCCCGUGAUGGCAAUGGAAACAGCUAUUCUUGAGUGCAGGAGAGGAAAGUGGAAUUCCCAGUGUAGCGGUGAAAUGCGUAGAUAUUGGGAGGAACACCAGUGGCGAAGGCGACUUUCUGGACUGUGUCUGACGCUGAGGCGCGAAAGCCAGGGGAGCGAACGGGAUUAGAUACCCCGGUAGUCCUGGCCGUAAACGAUGGGUACUAGGUGUGGGAGGUAUCGACCCCUUCCGUGCCGGAGUUAACGCAAUAAGUACCCCGCCUGGGGAGUACGGUCGCAAGACUGAAACUCAAAUGAAUUGACGGGGGUCAUAGCUGUUUCCUG